rnacentral:lncRNA from 1 species
CCUGAUCCAGCCAGCUCUCCUCAGACCACUCCUGUAUUUUCCCUGUGGGCUGCAGGAACAAGCCUGAACAAUUCAACCAGUUUCCACCCCAGCCUGGCUGUUCAGGCUCUAGUUUGUAGGUGUUUGCAUCUCCCUGCAUUGUGUCAGCUGGCUGGUGUUGCUCUUCAGAAGGAUGCCAGAUAGCUGGUACUUUACCCAGCCUGAUUUCCAGAUAACUGAUUUCUGUAGCUACCUCUUUAAUUAAAAUAAAAAAUAUAUGUAAAUGACAAGUUUAUCACUUGCUAACACAUGCCAUGGUUUUCUCUCAGUCAAUCAGCGUGCAGCAGACAGAGCUGCAGACUUCUCUUCCACACCACCAGUAUCCAGAAGGAAAAAAUCAGUCCAUCUGCAAAAGUGAUCAGACCCUCGUGCUUCCCGGCAUCAAUUCCCAUUUACAGGAGGAUCCAGUGCCCUCUACUGAGUAGAACCGAAGAAUCGUUCACCUAAGAUAGCCAAACUGAACAGAGCUAUCAGUGUGAACACCCUGCUGCCCAAACUGCUGCGCCUAACAACAUCUUCCUGAUUAUCCAGGAGUCUACCGCCAGCAGAACAUUAGUUACCUCCAUUUCUCUACGGAAAAUGCUUGGGUUUCCUGAAGUUUUCAGCUAUGUUUGUACAACUUGCCUUUGUGUGAAGUUGAAAGUUAAUUCGCUUCCUCUUGAUCCUUUGAGAGAAACAAAAAAAAAGGAUUAUCCAGAUUAAAUAAAAAUGCCAAAGCUCAAUCUUUGUCCCUGUUGAACAAAGGUGUUUAAAUAAAGAUUGCUGAGCUCAACCUCCUGCAUAAAGCUAAAAGUCGCUUUCUAACCUGUUGCUCUCACACAGUCUGAACAGAAUAUUGGGUGGCUGCAUUACAGUUCAUUCACACAUUAGUAAGAGAUAAAAGUAAAACAAGCUUUCAAUUUUAACUGGUUUUUUUGGGAGUACACCAUGGAAAAAUGCAUUUGGGCCUUUCCUCUUAGGGAGCCAAUAAAAAAGGGAAUAUUUUAUUUUCUCAAUUUUUGUUUAAAGUCUAAAACCUGUCUUUUUCCACUGUUUUCUUUCCCUUGGAAUACCAAGGGAAUAUUUUACUGGAGUUACAUAACAUUCUAAUAGACAAGGACUGAAAAGGCAUCUAUAGCUUAGAUUUGUUGGAGUUAUGUUACCACCUAGCUAAUUCCUUGCAGAGCCUUGAGAAAAA